GGAUAACGUUCCGAAAGAGAACGCUAAUACCGCAUACGUCCUACGGGAGAAAGUGGGGGAUCUUCGGACCUCACGCUAAUAGAUGAGCCUAGGUCGGAUUAGCUAGUUGGUGGGGUAACGGCUCACCAAGGCGACGAUCCGUAGCUGGUCUGAGAGGAUGAUCAGCCACACUGGAACUGAGACACGGUCCAGACUCCUACGGGAGGCAGCAGUGGGGAAUAUUGGACAAUGGGCAGAAAGCCUGAUCCAGCCAUGCCGCGUGUGUGAAGAAGGUCUUCGGAUUGUAAAGCACUUCAAGUUGGGAGGAAGGGUUGUAAGCUAAUAUCUUGCAGCUUUGACGUUACCAACAGAAUAAGCACCGGCUAACUCUGUGCCAGCAGCCGCGGUAAUACAGAGGGUGCAAGCGUUAAUCGGAAUUACUGGGCGUAAAGCGCGCGUAGGCGGCUUAGUAAGUUGGAUAGUGAAAGCCCCG
rnacentral:rRNA from 1 species